UACGGGGGGGGCAAGCGUUGUUCGGAAUUACUGGGCGUAAAGGGCUCGUAGGCGGCCAACUAAGUCAGACGUGAAAUCCCUCGGCUUAACCGGGGAACUGCGUCUGAUACUGGAUGGCUUGAGUUUGGGAGAGGAACGCGGAAUUCCAGGUGUAGCGGUGAAAUGCGUAGAUAUCGUAAGGAAGACCAGUGGCGAAGGCGAAUCUCUGGACAGUUACUGACACUGAGGCACGAAGGCCAGGGGAGCAAACAGG
rnacentral:rRNA from 1 species